rnacentral:lncRNA from 1 species
AAUCUUUAGAUCUUUCAGAAGUAGAAAUUGCUACACUAGCUGAUGCGAAAGCAUCAAUUAAAGUUAAUGCUCAAACUGUUUAUAAUGCUUAUAAACACGCGUUAGAGCAUGCUAGACCUAAUAUUCCAAUCUACUUCGUCUACAUCACAAUCGUCUAAAAGAACUGCUGGCUUAACAACUCUUAAAUCGUGGACGGAGUUCAGGAUACUCAAGGUGAUAAUUUAGAUGAAAUUUCCCAUCUAAAUGAGCUUCAAGUUUAUUUGUC